CCCGCACCGCUCGGCACGUGGUCGCGGGGGGAAAAGGGGGCUGGGGGCGUUCGGUGCAGAUUCACGCCCGUGGGCUCGCAUUACACUUUUAACUCUCCUGCCCGGCGCGGGGCCUGAUCCGAGCCCCGUUUGGAGGCCAUGAAGAUUCGUACUCGACUUCAAUGGCCUUUGGCUCCUCCAGGGUCCCAGACUCAGGGGUAGUUUUAAAUAUAAAAAACAUGCGAGCUAGACUCUGCCCCAGCGUGAACCAGCCCCCCAUUCGCUGUUUGUUGCCUAUCACUAGGAAUUGUUUGCCGCCUCUCUUUUUGCUAGCAGGUGUGCUGGAAUAAUUUGUAUGGGGAGGGGGGGUGCUGAGAACCAUUGAACCUAAUUUAAAAUCCCUAAUCUACUGAGAAUCACUUUCCCCUCCCAUGCCCCUGAUUCCAGUUCUACAUAAGGAAGGACCCAAGAGCUGGUUGGGAGUUGGCUUUCUAGAAAAAGAAUUCCUUUUUGCCCCUGUAUAGGAGCGGAGAAACGCAAACUCUGUUUCCUCAGCCUGUAUUUAUUUUCUUCAGCACUGCACUGUAUUUUACCUAGUCAGAAGUCCUUUAAGGAAGGAUGCUAGGCUUGCUCUUCUAUAUCACCCCACUUCUCUUCAGUGGCUUCUAGAGUCAUCCAAAGCCCGAAGAUAAUACGUUGGUUCCAGCCAGCUCAAGGCCACAGCACACAUCUGACUCUCGGCUGCUGGCCAAGAAAGAGGGGGGCUUGGAAUCCACCAAUGAGCCAUAAGAAAGACAUUCAACUGAACCGAUCUGCAGAGCUAGCCCAUAACAAGCGAGACAAGCGAAGGCCAGCAUGGAGGAAAGCAAAGAGAACAACAGAGUCUAACCGGUGUGUUUUGGGAAAAGUUAAGGCGACCACAGAUAGCUGGUUUGGUCUGUCACAAAGAGCACCAGGAGCAGAGGUCGUGGAAUGGAACACCCCCAAAGGAACCCAGGACUUAAAACCCUCCUGAGAGCUGGAGCAAUUCAGAGAGAUCACAGCAGACCCUGGAUGACCUGUGCGCACAGGACCAAACUACCGUCUACCCUUCCCCCUCUUCUUUUUUCAUUCCACCCAGGCCUGGCCAGCCUCGGGUAGUGAGUGUGUGAGUAUGAAAAUGGGUUGGGGCUCAGGGCACUAACGCUUUCUUCCUUCCUCUGAGUGACAUGGGAAGCACCCAUCACUCUCUGCUGUUAUUUUAUUAUUUUAUCAAUAAAGCUUUAAAACUUAGACAUUUGGUGUGUUCCGUCAUCUCCUCCCUUAAUGAUCCUGUAGCCUCACCCAAUCACCUUAAUGAUCCUGUGGCCUCACCUCAGGCAGACUGGUAACAAAAAUCUGUCACACCUUCUACAGAUGAUAUAUGUCAGAAAUACAAUAAAGGGAAUGGAAUUAAAUCCUUUUUUCUUAGAAUAGAAAACACCACACCAGAGCCAGGAUCUAGUAGCAAUCAGAGGCUUUAUGGAUCUGAUGAUGACAACAGCCAUCUACUUCAGGCUCCCACCUUUUAUACUCAAGCCUAAAAGAUUAUGGUUUCAAAGAGAAGCGCAAAGAACUGAUCAAAUGGAAAUUACAGAUGAAUAAUCAGAGCGCAAAUAUUGUUAUCAGCUCAAACCCCUCAUUAGAGAAUGUCUCAUGGGAAUUUUUCCAGUUUGUUCUCAUCAUUGACUCAAUACAGAUGACCAAUCUGACCAGCCCAUAUACUAGGGACCUCUAGCGAAACCAAUCACACUGGUUUGGCAGAACAAAUGGCAAGAGCUCCGUCAGACCAAUCUUCUGCCUCAUUUGUUUUGAUAAGUUCCUUAUGAAACAUCUUUGCAAGAAAACCACCCCUUUUUCAGCUUCUGACCUUGUAAUAUGCUUAAGUGCAAGGGUUGCUUAGCAUCCAUAUUGCUCAGCCUGGAUUGGAAAAGAUAUUCCAGACUCAAACUACUAGAGUCUCUUGAAUGACCAAGUUUUGGAAGCAGCCUGUGUCACUUUGGAUUCUCUUUAAGACAGACUUACAGGCAUCACAGUAUAAGAUUGAGUGUUCUUUCCUCAAACAUCCCAACCCGCAGACUUACCCGGGACCUUCAGGGUCGGGGGAAUGGCAGUGUGGGAGUGUAGGAGUCAGGGCGGGGCCUUGGUGAUGUGUGUGUGUGGGGGGGGAGUGCAGGAGGCUGGGGGCUGAGGGGGUGCAAGUGUGAGGCUCGGGAGGUAAGGAGAGGCUCAGGGUGGGGAGAGUCCCAUCUGACCAUGGGCCUUUUCUCUCCCCUUAGUCUCCUGCUCUGGCUGCCAGGGGCAUUUUUCUCUCCUCCCCGCACUCCAGUGUUGCAGCCAAGGGCCGGGAGGGGUGGGGUUUGAGGCAGGGGGCUCUUUACCUGGUGUGCUGGCAGGCAAGAUGGCAGAGCCACUGCUCUACUGGCCACUCCUUUGACGGUACAGCUGCCUCCAGUGGCCACUCUGCAGGAUAGCUCUCCCUUAUGGGCUCAUUAAGCCCAGUGGCCACUCUCAUAUUGCGUUUCUCCGAUCAGCAGCUCCUCCCUUUGCAUGUUAUGGAAAACUGUCCUUUCCAUUGGCUUCUGAUUGUCCUAGCACAACCCAACUCUGACUUUGCUUUAAAGUUAGGAGAAGAGGAAGCUGCAUAACAAAUUUGGUGGUCCUAGCUCUUAUCAUUUAGGACAGGGAUGGGCAUGAUCCAGCCCACCAAGCCAUUUGAUUAGGCCCAUGUCCCGCUUCGCUUGGGGACAGGAUAGCGUAACAAGUCUCCUCCUUUAAGAAAGGCAUUGGAUUUAUGAUUUAUUAAAACAAUCUGUAAUCCAUUAAUCCCCCAAGGCAUUAACAGGCCACUUCACCUUGAAUGGUCCCUUAGAAUGUGAUAACAAUACAGUAUAUAUUUAUGCUAAAUUAUAUAUUCCAUGCUGUAUUUUGGUGAGACACCCUCAGUAGCUUUCCCAGACCUGAAGAAUUCCCUGUAGCUCCAAAGCUUGUCUCUCUCACCAAGAGAAGUCAGUUCAUUAAAAGAUAUUACCUCACCCACUCUCUCUCUGUGAUCCCAGAUGUGAAAAGCAAACACACCGACAAAACCACACAUAUUUUCCCUUUUACACAUUUUUUAUCAGUUUUGGUAGUUCCAAGGGUUAAUAAAAAUAUGCUUCAGAAACUGAUAGCAACAAUUUCAUUUCCAAUGGAAAUAUAUACUGUAUUGUUAUCACCAUUAUUCCCUUAGAUCACCAUAGUUUUAAACAUUGGCCACAUUUUGUACUUAGCUGUCUUUACAAUUUUCCUUUA